rnacentral:tRNA from 1 species
GGAAUAAUAAUAGAAAAGCUGCUAACUUUUCAUAAAGCAUUUAAAUUGUUUAUAUUCCU